AAGGCUAAAUACUACCUAGUGACCGAUAGCGUAUAGUACCGUGAGGGAAAGGUGAAAAGAACCCCGGGAGGGGAGUGAAAUAGAACCUGAAACCCUGCACUUACAAGCUGUGGAAGCACAUUUCUUGUGUGACCGCGUACUUUUUGUAGAACGGGCCAACGAGUUACGUUAAGUAGCAAGGUUAAGCACUUAAGGUGUGGAGCCGUAGCGAAAGCGAGUUUUAACUGAGCGUUCAGUUACUUGACGUAGACCCGAAACCGGGCGACCUACCCAUGAGCAGGAUGAAGCGAAAGUAAAAUUUCGUGG
rnacentral:rRNA from 1 species